rnacentral:rRNA from 1 species
GAGCUUGCUCCACUGAUUAGUGGCGAACGGGUGAGGAACACGUGAGAAACCUGCCUCGGAUUUUGGGAUAACAAAUGGAAACGUUUGCUAAUACCAAAUAACGUCGGAGAGCUUCAUGGCUUUCUGACGAAAGGAAUUCCGAUUCGAGAGGGUCUCGCGGCCUAUCAGCUAGUUGGCGGGGUAAUGGCCCACCAAGGCAACGACGGGUAGCUGGUCUGAGAGGAUGGUCAGCCACACUGGGACUGAGACACGGCCCAGACUCCUACGGGAGGCAGCAGUGGGGAAUCUUGCGCAAUGGGCGAAAGCCUGACGCAGCAACGCCGCGUGCGGGAAGAAGGCUUUCGGGCUGUAGACCGCUUUCAGCAGGAACGAAAGUGACGGUACCUACAAAAGAAGCACCGGCUAACUAUGUGCCAGCAGCCGCGGUAAUACAUAGGGUGCAAGCGUUGUCCGGAAUUAUUGGGCGUAAAGAGCUCGUAGGUCGUUUGUUACGUCGGAUGUGAAAACCUGAGGCUCAACCUCAGGCCUGCAUUCGAUACGGGCAAACUAGAGUUUGGUAGGGGAGACUGGAAUUCCUGGUGUAGCGG